rnacentral:lncRNA from 1 species
GACAGUUGUAGUACAUCUUCAUCCUCUAUAGUUGAAAAGGGCCAUAUUGUAGUCUAUACAAUUGAUCAAAGGCGAUUUGUCAUUCCCUUGGCAUACCUUGAAAAUGAGGUCCUUAGGCAACUCUUAAACAUGUCGGAAGAAGAGUUUGGGCUGCCGCAUGGUGGCCCUAUUAAAUUACCCUGUGAUUCAGCGUUCAUGGAUUACAUCAUUUCACUAAUCAAGAAAGGUGUGGCCGCUGGAGAUCUUCACAAAGCAUUGCUCCUCUCAGUUACUUCAUGUUGUUGUUCAGCUUAUUCUUUGCACCAAGAAAGUGGAAACCAGCAGCUUGUUGUCUAUUGAGUCAUGAAAUAAUCAUAUUUUGUAAAUGGUAGCUCAAAAUAGAUUGUAUAGCAGGUGAUAAGUAGGAAACUAAAAGAGUGUAUUACAAAAGACGAAUAGAGCUUUCAAUUUUCAAUUUUGAAACUAAGAAGUUCUUAAACAUUAUCUUAUCCCGGGCAAUAACAUGGUUUGAUCAAAACUUACUAAUAUAUGAAUCAUUCUGACUAAAAAAGUGGAGAGAAAAAAGCUAAGUUGCUCGGACACGGGUGCGGAUCUAGAGAUCGGAUCCUUCGAGAUGUAAAUUCUAAGAUUCAGGGAUACGGAUCUUAGUAUGGAUACGGGUGCUGGGAUCCAGCUCAAAAUAAUUCAAAAAAAUAAAAAAAUAUCCAAAUUGUGAGAAAUUUUGUUGAAUACUUACAUAUAGCUUGUAAAGUGUUAAUUUCUUUUUCAUUCUCAAGUUGUAGAUAAGUAAAGGAUUAAUUUGUUAGAUAAGGUAUGAUAUUAUCUUCAAAUUUACCCUAGUUUUGGUUCUAAUUUCGGGAAUCAAAUUGUAUGUUGUCUCGAACUUUUCCAUCCGUCAUGGUCAAAGUACCCAAAAUUAUUUGACCAGAUCUUGUACGGAUCUCAUAUUUACACUCAUACUAGUGUCGUAUCGACACAGGUGCGGCACUUAAACUGUCAUGGCGGAGCAACUUAGGAAUAAAUGGAAGCCAUAUUACGUCAGAGUUUUUGGAGAACGGGAUAUAGGGAAUUGAUCUUUAAUUGGAUAUAUGAUGGAUAUGUGGAUAUUGGAAAUAAAAUGUAUAAAAGAUGAUAAGUUUAAUACCUUUUGCAAAUUAUCAUCUGAUACUCUAAGAACAUAUUCAGAAAAUCAAAACAGCUACUGGAGUAUCUUCCUCAUAAUUCGAAUAUCAAUAGAUUAGUUAAAUAGUUACCUAAAAUAAAAAUAAAAAUACUGGAGUGAAGGGUUAAUAGGUAGGUACCUUUGAAAUUGAAGGUCCGUUCGUCGUAAGGGGGCUGAGAUGGUUUCUCAUAGCCGACGGAGGAGGAAAUGAAGAUUAU